GACGAACCACACGAACGUUAUUCGGAAUCACUGGGCUUAAAGGGUGCGUAGGCGGCGCGGAAAGUAGGGUGUGAAAUCCCUCGGCUUAACCGAGGAACUGCGCCCUAAACUACCGUGCUCGAGGGAGAUAGAGGUGAGCGGAACUUAGGGUGGAGCGGUGAAAUGCGUUGAUAUCCUAAGGAACACCGGUGGCGAAAGCGGCUCACUGGAUCUUUUCUAACGCUGAGGCACGAAAGCUAGGGUAGCGAACGGG
rnacentral:rRNA from 1 species